AGGGAUUGCCUUAGUAACGGCGAGUGAAGCGGCAAAAGCUCAAAUUUGAAAUCUGGCACCUUCGGUGUCCGAGUUGUAAUUUGAAGAAGGUAACUUUGGAGUUGGCUCUUGUCUAUGUUCCUUGGAACAGGACGUCACAGAGGGUGAGAAUCCCGUGCGAUGAGAUGCCCAAUUCUAUGUAAAGUGCUUUCGAAGAGUCGAGUUGUUUGGGAAUGCAGCUCUAAGUGGGUGGUAAAUUCCAUCUAAAGCUAAAUAUUGGCGAGAGACCGAUAGCGAACAAGUACAGUGAUGGAAAGAUGAAAAGAACUUUGAAAAGAGAGUGAAAAAGUACGUGAAAUUGUUGAAAGGGAAGGGCUUGAGAUCAGACUUGGUAUUUUGCGAUCCUUUCCUUCUUGGUUGGGUUCCUCGCAGCUUACUGGGCCAGCAUCGGUUUGGAUGGUAGGAUAAUGACUAAGGAAUGUGGCUCUACUUCGGUGGAGUGUUAUAGCCUUGGUUGAUACUGCCUGUCUAGACCGAGGACUGCGUCUUUUGACUAGGAUGUUGGCAUAAUGAUCUUAAGCCACCCGUCUUGAAACCCCCGACGCACACAUAGU
rnacentral:rRNA from 1 species